CUUGCCCUUAAUUCUUCCUUGAAACAAGUCAUAGGAACCAGAAUGCCUCUUCCCCCAGAUGCUGACUCUUGAAGCAUCCAAAGGGGAGAAAAGAACAGAGACAAAGAAAAAGAAAGGAGAGAGAUGCAGGCCAAGAACAGAGUAUGAGAUUAAAUAUCAGCAACUAUACAAAGCCUUCUGGAACUUAAAAUGGAGGGAAAAGAAGUCAAGGACCAAACCACAUUCCGUGCAGUAGUGACGAGAACACUUGUGGACCUCCACCUCUAAAAGUGCAAUUACCAGAGAAAAGAAGCCACAUCUCCAAUGAAAGGCAUAAAAUGAGAUGGAAGAAAUUCUCAGAUAAAGCCCAAUAAUUAAGAUUAUCCUUAACAACCACUGUCCUAGUUGCUAACUAGCUUUUUAAAGUCACCUUUGUGACCUCAUCUUGUGCCUAGCACAAAGCAAGCACUCAAUAAAUGGUUGAUGCAAGAGUUAUAUGUAAAUAAAUCUUUAGUUCUAUUAAAUUUUGUUCUAGUGAAUCUUUGGUUAUCCAGAC
rnacentral:lncRNA from 1 species